rnacentral:lncRNA from 1 species
UUAGAGCUUUUACGUUGUAAUUCUCAGAGUGAAACACAAAGGGUUUUGGGGUUUCAUAGCUGAGUGAAUUGGUAGACUUGAUCAACAGGUGUUGAGUCAAGCAAGUUGGGUGUGUUAGAAAUCGAUCCGUGUCGAGUUGUGUAAUUCGGAUCAAACAAGUCUGUAAGAGAUUGUGUAAAGGAUUUCUAAUAAAAGAUAUACGAGUUCUUGGAAUUACUUUGUGUCUUGUGUUUUUGUUGUAUCUCGAUUUUACAAUUGGUAUCAGAGCAGGAC